rnacentral:rRNA from 1 species
UACGAAGGGGGCUAGCGUUGCUCGGAAUCACUGGGCGUAAAGGGUGCGUAGGCGGCUUGUUAAGUCAGGGGUGAAAUCCUGGAGCUCAACUCCAGAACUGCCUUUGAUACUGGCGAGCUUGAGUUCGGGAGAGGUGAGUGGAACUGCGAGUGUAGAGGUGAAAUUCGUAGAUAUUCGCAAGAACACCAGUGGCGAAGGCGGCUCACUGGCCCGGUACUGACGCUGAGGUGCGAAAGCGUGGGGAGCAAACAGG